rnacentral:rRNA from 1 species
GUCCUAGCUGUAAACGAUGUACACUUGGUGUAGUUGGAAUUAACCCAGACUGUGCCGAAGCUAACGUGAUAAGUGUACCGCCUGGGGAGUACGCUCGCAAGAGUAAAACUCAAAAGAAUUGACGGGGACCCGCACAAGCAGUGGAGCAUGUGGUUUAAUUCGAUGCAACGCGAAGAACCUUACCUAGGCUUGACAUGUAGAGGACGGAUGCAGAGAUGUAUCUUCCCUUCGGGGCUUCUACACAGGUGCUGCAUGGCUGUCGU